ensembl:lncRNA
UGACAUCUGUGAUUGUGAAAGAAGAUGAUGAUGCCAUUUUGCCCUGUUCCUCGGCACCAAUGAGAACAUUGAGUCAAUGGUGUUUGACUGGAAGAAGGAAGAAACAGUCCAGGUGUUCGUGUAUAAUAAGGGUGCCCAUUACAAUGAUCAAAAUGAGCAGUUCAAAAGUCGAGUCACACAUUUUCCAGAAGAGCUGAAGCACGGCAAUGCCUCCAUAAGAAUAAAAGAAACUAAGCGGGAGGACAAAGGAAACUACACCUGUUUUUUUCCAAACCGCAGUAAGACAUUCAAAGUUGAGCUUGUUGUUGGAAAAAUACAUAUGCCAUAAGGGCAAUCCAGCAGCUCUUCAAUGUCAAAAGAAGAUUUUGUGCUGCAGCAGACGUUCAUAAAUCUGAC